rnacentral:rRNA from 1 species
AUGGGAAACAGGUUAAUAUUCCUGUACUUGGUGUUACUGCGAAGGGGGGACGGAGAAGGCUAUGUUGGCCGGGCGACGGUUGUCCCGGUUUAAGCGUGUAGGCUGGUUUUCCAGGCAAAUCCGGAAAAUCAAGGCCGAGGCGUGAUGACGAGGCACUACGGUGCUGAAGCAACAAAUGCCCUGCUUCCAGGAAAAGCCUCUAAGCAUCAGGUAACAUCAAAUCGUACCCCAAACCGACACAGGUGGUCAGGUAGAGAAUACCAAGGCGCUUGAGAGAACUCGGGUGAAGGAACUAGGCAAAAUGGUGCCGUAACUUCGGGAGAAGGCACGCUGAUACGUAGGUGAAGCGACUUGCUCGUGGAGCUGAAAUCAGUCGAAGAUACCAGCUGGCUGCAACUGUUUAUUAAAAACACAGCACUGUGCAAACACGAAAGUGGACGUAUACGGUGUGACGCCUGCCCGGUGCCGGAAGGUUAAUUGAUGGGGUUAGCGCAAGCGAAGCUCUUGAUCGAAGCCCCGGUAAACGGCGGCCGUAACUAUAACGGUCCUAAGGUAGCGAAAUUCCUUGUCGGGUAAGUUCCGACCUGCACGAAUGGCGUAAUGAUGGCCAGGCUGUCUCCACCCGAGACUCAGUGAAAUUGAACUCGCUGUGAAGAUGCAGUGUACCCGCGGCAAGACGGAAAGACCCCGUGAACCUUUACUAUAGCUUGACACUGAACAUUGAGCCUUGAUGUGUAGGAUAGGUGGGAGGCUUUGAAGUGUGGACGCCAGUCUGCAUGGAGCCGACCUUGAAAUACCACCCUUUAAUGUUUGAUGUUCUAACGUGGACCCGUGAUCCGGGUUGCGGACAGUGUCUGGUGGGUAGUUUGACUGGGGCGGUCUCCUCCUAAAGAGUAACGGAGGAGCACGAAGGUUGGCUAAUCCUGGUCGGACAUCAGGAGGUUAGUGCAAUGGCAUAAGCCAGCUUGACUGCGAGCGUGACGGCGCGAGCAGGUGCGAAAGCAGGUCAUAGUGAUCCGGUGGUUCUGAAUGGAAGGGCCAUCGCUCAACGGAUAAAAGGUACUCCGGGGAUAACAGGCUGAUACCGCCCAAGAGUUCAUAUCGACGGCGGUGUUUGGCACCUCGAUGUCGGCUCAUCACAUCCUGGGGCUGAAGUAGGUCCCAAGGGUAUGGCUGUUCGCCAUUUAAAGUGGUACGCGAGCUGGGUUUAGAACGUCGUGAGACAGUUCGGUCCCUAUCUGCCGUGGGCGCUGGAGAACUGAGGGGGGCUGCUCCUAGUACGAGAGGACCGGAGUGGACGCAUCACUGGUGUUCGGGUUGUCAUGCCAAUGGCACUGCCCGGUAGCUAAAUGCGGAAGAGAUAAGUGCUGAAAGCAUCUAAGCACGAAACUUGCCCCGAGAUGAGUUCUCCCUGACCCUUUAAGGGUCCUGAAGGAACGUUGAAGACGACGACGUUGAUAGGCCGGGUGUGUAAGCGCAGCGAUGCGUUGAGCUAACCGGUACUAAUGAACCGUGAGGCUUAACCUU